AUAGUAAUAACUGAAAAUGGAUUAUUUAGCUAUAUUUACAACAAUGUUUAAUAUAUUAAAAGGAUUAAGGUAGAAAGGGAAAGACCCAACAAGUAGAAGAAGAUUAAAUUAAAGUGUUAUGUGAACAGUUGUAGUUCUUUACUAGCUUUAAGUCCAGUGUUCAGAAAAGGUUUGUUGUGUUUGAUAAGCAGUGCUUCAAGAAAAGUAAGAAUGUUGUAGUUGUUAGAUUUUGUAAUGUGAAGUAUUCUGUAGCUGUUGAAAACAAGGUUUUCAAUAGGGGAAGAGUUGUCAGAAGGCAAAGGAAGAUCGUUGAGUAAUGCGAACUGGUCUUGCUAUAUUAAAAGACAAUGUCAAUGUUGAAUAACAUAGCGGUUCCUUUUUGGCUUCCAUUGCGUCCGUUAUGAUUUAUUGUUCUUUUGGCCGUCAUUUUGGCAUUUAAUUCUUUCCAAACCUGGUUUAUCUUCGCCAUUUUGUCGUAAAUCGCAUGUGGAAUCACUGCUUCCAUUUUUGUCAUCAAAAUUUCUCAUUUUUGUCAUCAAAAUUUCUCUAAGUUCCUAACAGCUGGUAAAUUUGUUGUCACUGUGCAG